GUUUUCAGGACUGCAGCAGUGACAGUUUCUACACAGCCCAUGAAUCGGGAGGGAGGAAACCACUCCUGCUCUGUCACUUUGAUCAACACCAUCAGAGCAAAGCAAAACCCGGAUUUAGCGAUAACUGGAGCGACAUGAAAGAAAUAAAACUGCCGGGGAUGUUUAGUGGAACAAGAGGAAGCCCUGAGCCAGCAGUGUGAACAGCAGCCUCGAUUUCCUCUUGGCUCUCGGGGUCUCCCCUGCCCUCUCUCUGUAAACAAAAUCCAGACACACUUGUGGGACUAGUAGGCUAUGGAAAAUACAUUUAAAAUGACAACCGUAAAUAAAUAAGAGAAAAAAAAUCAAAAGCUCUAACUCCUGUGUCUCUGAUCAGGUGAAAAGAGUUUGGGUAGUAUCCUUAAAACAGGA
rnacentral:lncRNA from 1 species